rnacentral:lncRNA from 1 species
CCAGGGUAAGUCAGUAAUAGACGCAGACACACCCAGAGACCAAGGAUGAGUUGUGAUCUGUCUGCACACAUAGUUCACAAUGCCUGAACUUGCUAUAAUUCUGUGAGAGAGCUAUAAAAGUCUGCUCAGAAACAUUAUAAUGUAAAAUGGACAGAGAAGGACAAUGAGAUAUUUAAUUUGCCACGGCAAAGCCAUUGCUGUGAAGAAUGGAUAAUAUAUGUCAAUGGUAAUAUAUGAAGAAAUAACACAGGUGAAUAGCAGAGGCAAUAAAUCUGUUUUUACCACAGGACUUGUCUUACACUUUUCUCUUAGUAAUAAAUAAAAUAAUUUUCGACCAGAUGGAGCUGGCUUGAAAUCCUCUUGUUUAUGGCAGUACAUAUCGGUUAUGAUUCAAAAAAUAUAGCCCAUUUCCAAAAACCUGCAACAAAGAGAUACUUUCUCAGUCCUGCAGGCUGUACAGGAAGCACAGUGGCAUCUUCUUCUGGAGAGGCCUCAGGGAGCUUUUACUCAUGACAGAAGGCAAAGCAGGAGCAGGCACUUCACAUGGUGAAAGCAGGAACAAGAGAGAGAGAGUGUGUUGGGGUAGGUGCACUACCAUGGAGACAGCACCAAGUCACGAAGGAUUCGACCUCAUGAUCCAAACACUUCCCACCAAGCUCCACCUUCAGCACUGGGGAUCUGGUUUCAACAUGAGAUUUGGGCGGGACAUCCAAACUAUAUCAUCUGUCUCCCUCAUCCAAGACCAUGUGAUCCGUAGCUCACUUUUGUCUAGCAACAGAUUAAAUACAGCAUUUUCUGUGUGAUAUCUUUGUU